CCUUAAAUCACGAAGAGAAGAAUUCGCUGAAAUCCUUCACAGAUCCCAGCCCCCCAAUAAACCUCAUAGCAGUAUGUCAUACACCCAGGGCAGAUAACCAGAAUGCAUCAGGAUAAAUCUUAAUCAACACUGGAACGAUCACCACAAUCCAACCAACAACCUUGUCUUUCCAGAUGCGCGAAGUAUCCGUUGGCAUUAAUAUGUACAAAUCUACUUUAAAAAAAAAAAAGAAAAAUGAUUUUUGAUCCACUUACUCCUCCAAGCAACAUUCACGGUGCAGGGUGUGCUCUGAAAGUACCAAAGGCAUGUUAAAGACGACUCUCUCUCUCUUUCUCAAGUGUUGUCCUCAUAGAUAAUCUCCAUCAUGGAUGUCCAGUAUUCCACG